rnacentral:rRNA from 1 species
GACGAACGCUGGCGGCGUGCUUAACACAUGCAAGUCGAGCGGUAAGGCCCUUUCGGGGGUAUACGAGCGGCGAACGGGUGAGUAACACGUGGGUGACCUGCCCUCAGCUCUGGGAUAAGCCUGGGAAACUGGGUCUAAUACUGGAUAUGACUCCACGGUGCAUGUCGUGGGGUGGAAAGCCUUGUGCGGCUGAGGAUGGGCCCGCGGCCUAUCAGCUUGUUGGUGGGGGAUGGCCUACCAAGGCGACGACGGGUAGCCGGCCUGAGAGGGCGACCGGCCACACUGGGACUGAGACACGGCCCAGACUCCUACGGGAGGCAGCAGUGGGGAAUCUUGCGCAAUGGGCGAAAGCCUGACGCAGCGACGCCGCGUGAGGGAUGACGGCCUGG